GCGCAAAUGUCGCCAACUCUUAACGAUCCGCCCAGGCACGCUUGUUGACGAAGCUUGCGAAAGGUGUUAAGUUUUCAGUCGAAUUUCCAAAGAAAAUUGUGAAAUGGGCACUCGCGUGUUUGUCGGUGGUCUUACUUAUCGUGUACGCGAACGCGACAUCGAGAAAUUUUUCCGUAAAUAUGGAAGAAUUAAGGAAGUAGCCAUGAAAAAUGGUUUUGCGUUUGUCGAAUUUGACGACUACAGGGACGCCGAUGACGCUGUUUACGAGCUUAACGGUAAGGAACUUUUGGGUGAAAGGGUGUCUGUAGAGCGUGCAAGAGGGACGCCGCGUGGAUCAGAUCAAUGGCGCGGAAGCGGACGGGGUUACGGACCACCGCGUGGACGGAGUCGCGAUAAUAGAGAUCCUGAUAUGAGAUCACAUGACAGAUACGGUCCGCCAACUCGUACCGAAUACCGCCUAAUUGUAGAAAACCUUUCCAGUCGCGUCAGCUGGCAAGAUUUAAAAGAUUAUAUGCGCCAAUCUGGCGAGGUUACUUAUGCUGAUGCUCAUAAACAGAAGCGCAACGAGGGAGUUGUGGAAUUCGCUUCUUAUUCCGAUAUGAAAAAUGCUUUGGAUAAACUAGACGAUACCGAGCUAAAUGGACGCCGCAUUCGCUUAAUUGAAGAUAGACGCCGCGGCGGUGGGGGUGGCGGAGGCAGACGGUCACGUUCUUCCAGUAGCCGUAGCCAUUCUCGAUCUCGUUCUCGUCACCGUUCAAAUAGCCGUUCCCGUUCUAGAUCCAAGAACGGUGACGGUUCGAAGUCAAGAUCGCGUUCAAGAUCUCGUUCCAAACAUUCCAAAUCUCGUUCGCCAUCUAAACCCAACGAUCACUCUAAGGAUCGUUCUCGUUCACGAUCGAUGAGCAAGGAUCGCAGCAAGUCACGUAGCCGUUCGGCGGGCAAGGAAGAGAACAUGUCCGACAAGAACGACUAAAAUGUAUGUGUGUUGCCAUCUUCUUUUGAAUUAAGUGCACAGUUACCACCCUUGGUAAGAGGUUUUAUUCCUUAACCGAUUGAGAAGAGUGAGACUGUGCUCAUUCCAUUAAUACACCCACCUACCCGUGAUGGUAAUUUCGUCCAUGUCCAUUGAUAAAUGUGCAAUCAAUCAAUCCUUAGGUCAGCAAAUCCUGUUUAAAAAUGAACAAUCCACAGUCGAUCAAGGGUCCCCCACACCGGCUCAGGUCUUCUGUACCUCGUGUACUACUCCCUUUCAAAUACGGAACCAGGACACUGCCAAGUGGCCGGUUGUGAUUCUCCCCCGAAUACUGCCUGAGGGUAAUUGUCCAUUCCACUUCAUUCCCAAGGCGACGUCGGCGACCAAAAUGGCCAUUCCACCCAUAAUGCCGACCGAUCGAUCGUAAACCAUAGUAACGCUUUCGAACGACGCACGCAAUUAAAGCGGAUUUCAAAGUUUUUCUGCUGAGAAAACGAAAAACGACCUGUGUGGCGGUAAUGGAGUGGAAGCUCGACUGCUCCCUGGUUUGAAUUCAAGUUCGGGCAAGGAUGUUUGUCAAUGUAAGGUGGGUUGGUUGGCAGAGUAGCUUUGGCUGAAACCCCGUCGACUUGAAAAAGGCAAAAAAUUACAACACCCACUUCAAAGCGGGAUUUUCAAUCGGUGGCGCCAUUUUAACGACAUAAUUAUUCCAUAACGCGGCCUGUGACUUCUUGUCAGAUAUUCCUAUAUUAGAACAGAGGGUGGAAUCUGUCCGUUCAUUCCUAAGGUCGUAAAUCUUAAAGGUGGCGGUGGUUGGUGGAGUAUACGUUCUGUUACCAAGUGAGGCAGCACAGGAACGUUCGAUCCCACAGUCUUAAGCGAUCAUCCCUAACCAUAUUGUGUAACUUUGCCGCUCAAAACAGAUAAGAUGGACGAAAGGAGAGAGAAAGGUGUAACUUGCGCGGUAGGGUUGCGCAAACGACUUCCAUGCAACACACUGAUUGAUGCCGUUCAGCUUCUCAAUGUGAUGGAUCAAAAUAUGUAUAGCUUUUUGGAUAAUAUAAUACAAGAGUUGUACAUCAAAUUGAUGCGGUCUAAGAGCUUUGUUGUAGAGACCUCGUGGCCAAAAGGCGACAGUCUCAGGGGUGGGGAGAAAGCAUUGUUUAUCGUCGCCUUUACUUUACUAGUGAAAUCUGGGGAGGAGACAGAUUCGUUCUCUAAAUAUCGCCCAUUGUUUAAUGGAGUAUUACUACAUAAUGAGGUAAGGUCUUUGUAGUUUAAUUAAUGUUGUGCUAUUAAUAAUAAUAAUAAAUGCCUUUAUUCAAUUAGAAUGGGCAAGGUUCAGCAAUGACAUGUAUGCCAUGUGCUGCUCUUGCAACUUCUAUCAAUUAUUGCAUUAUGUUACCGGUUCUGGAUGUACAACUAAGUACUCAUUUAUUUUAUUUUUUGUUAAAAAUUACAUUGAAAACCAGUUUUGGAAGACCACACUUUCCAAAAAGUGAAAUGGAAUGAUACCUAAUAACUAUUAUAACAUUUGUAAUGUCAUGGAGGUGUGCCAGAGUCAAAAGUUGCAUAAAAUUGAUCCUAUUAGGUCACGGUUUAUGUGCUGUACAAAAACUUUGAACGACAUGGCUCAAAUCAAAAUUGAAGAAAUUUGAUUAAUAGGAACUACGAAACUGUCCUUUGAACAUUUUGAAAUCUGGUAAAGAAAACAACCCAGGUCUACAAUUUUAGGAGCGGAGAUGCAGCUUGUGAAAAGACUCACUUUGUUUCAAAGUGCCAUUAUUUUGACAAUAGAUACAAAAAAUGAAAUGUGAUAAUUAAAAGUUGUGAAAUAGAAUUAAACAAAGAAAGUAACAAUUAAUAUAAACAUUGAACUUAUACUAACCGGAACAGUUUCAAGGCUUACAAACGUAUGCACACGGUUGAGGAAGGGCGCGAGAAAAGGACAGACUGGUUGUUAUAUUAUGUAUGCUAAAUGAAGAUAGUAAUACUGCCACAUUGUGGGUUGCAUACCCACAAAAAUGUCUCGCUUGUAGUAACGUUGCGCCCUUUUCAGUUAGUAUAGAGUUGAAUGGAUAUAAAUCAUGGGGUAAAUAAACAUUUGACUUAAUUUCGAACAAAAUUGUUUACCCUAUGAGAGCUAAUGUAGGUGAUGGCUGAAAAAAAUCGACUUAAAUUUGCACCCUUAACUUUGUCGCUUCUACACACUAGUAUUUGUAAAGAGCACGAACCCUAAGAGUAAGCACUAGCCUUAAUUUAACACUUCUUUGUUCAAAUAGCAUAGUUUUUCCACCUUUGGAACUGGUUCCAUUCCAGCGUGUGGAAAAUACUGCAUCAAAAGACUUGCAUUGGAGAAGUAGUACAUACGAUUUUUGUUGAUAGCCGCCUGCAUUUUCUACUGUUGCUAUCUUUAGUGCCUGGUUAAGUAGGAAGAGUAUGUUCUCCGCCCACCAAAAAGCAAAAGGGAAUUUUGUUAAAAAUCCUUAAAAAGGAUGAAUCGCAUCUGUAUUAUGAAAUAUUCCUGAAACUGUCUAUGAUUGUGGAUAAGCCGGCAAGAUAAUUAAAAUUAAGAGAAGUAAUGGAAUUUGUUGCAUUUCGACGACGCAAGGUUCACAAAUUGUCUGUCUUAUACCGAAGAAAAACUAUGCUGUUUUGUACUUGGGUGUCACUCUUGGCAAGAACGGCACGAACGAAAACAAUACAUUUUGUGACGUUAUAGCAUUAAGUACUAUGUUUGAAUACGUACGUUUUGAUCUGAAUAAAAAACCUUUUACAGCUUAAA